CCUCUGGAGCCACAUGGACCAAACCUCUUUGCCUCCGCCUUGAUUUCCAUGGAGGGAAGGUGGGAGAGAGUGUGGGGCUCAGAGUGUGGGCGGUGGGUGCUGCUACCCUGGCAUGCCCUGCUGCCCUCUGAAGGUCCCUCCUUCCCAGGCCUGGAUGCCAAGAGGGCACUCCACUGGGACCUGUGAGAAUGACAAGCUUGAACUGGAUCAAAAGCAAAAGCUGGAGGAGCCACAGCUGCAGCCCUCAGAGCUCACUGUCAGACUGCUGGCCGUUCUCAACCAUUCUCCACCAAGAAGGCUGCAUUCCCUAAGUUGCCUACAGAUCUGGAAGCCUUGCUGAAAAGACACCUUAAUGGCCUAGCAGCUCCUUUAGGCAAGGACCAAUUCAGAUGUUGAAUGAUGGAACACAAAAACCCACAGCAGAUAUGGUGGCUGACGCUUGUAAUCCCAGCACUUUGCGAGGUUGAGGGAUCUUACAUAAAAAUCUGGAUUUGUGGCUUCAUUGGAAACAUCUGCAUGACCACAACUGCUGGAGCUGAGAGUCAGCUGCUUGUUCCUGAUCCCAAACCCCAUGACUCCUGGACACCUUCUGCCUCCUACCCCUUAUCUCCCUGGAUUCCCUGAGUGGCUUGCUGCUGG